GUGCUUGCUUCCAGAGUACAUAUACUAAAACUGGUAUGAUACAGAGAAGAUUAGCAUGGCCUCUGCACAAGAAUGCCAUACAAAGUUGUGAAGCAUUCCAUAUUUUU